CGCGCAGGCGGUUCCUUAAGUCUGAUGUGAAAGCCCACGGCUCAACCGUGGAGGGUCAUUGGAAACUGGGGAACUUGAGUGCAGAAGAGAAGAGCGGAAUUCCACGUGUAGCGGUGAAAUGCGUAGAGAUGUGGAGGAACACCAGUGGCGAAGGCGGCUCUUUGGUCUGUAACUGACGCUGAGGCGCGAAAGCGUGGGGAGCAAACAGGAUUAGAUACCCUGGUAGUCCACGCCGUAAACGAUGAGUGCUAAGUGUUAGAGGGUUUCCGCCCUUUAGUGCUGCAGCUAACGCAUUAAGCACUCCGCCUGGGGAGUACGGCCGCAAGGCUGAA
rnacentral:rRNA from 1 species